GCGCCUGUAGGAUAAUGGUCAUUACACUCAGCUUCCAAGAAGCGUUCAUCGAGACACCUGGGUUCGACUCACAGCGGAUGCA